GGAUAUGAAACACCAAUUGCAUCACUGAUUAGAGAAUUCGUCUUCUCGCAAAGCCUUAAAGGUUGCUUAGAAAGUGGACAGACAAGAAUUUCGAGGAUCUUCUUGUUAAUCCCUUCUUUCAGAAGUAUUCUUCCAAAUUUCACCAUUUUUAUCCAAUUUGAUUCUCAGCAAUCUAGGGAUUUCAAAUGAUGGGUUAGUCGAUCCUAAGGGUC
rnacentral:misc_RNA from 1 species